rnacentral:lncRNA from 1 species
UCUUCAGAUUCCAGAACUUGUGAUGUGCAAUCCACAAUACUCUUCAAGGACUUAAAGCAAAAGCUCUGACCUACUGAUCUGGCUGAUCAAGCUCUUGCUCUAGAUCCUCUAACAUAAUCACUGCCUGUUCCCCACUCUUUGGAUGGUGUUCCCGCAACCAGGCUUGUAAUUCUUCAGGCAACAUGCAACUUGACAUGGGGUUGACCUUUUCCAUCUGGUAUCCAGAAAAACCCAAAGCAAUCCACUGUAA